GUGGGGUAUGGAGAUAUGUACCCAGUGACUGUAGGAGGAAAGCUGGUCGGCUCUAUGUGCGCCAUUGCGGGUGUGCUGACCAUCUCGCUUCCUGUUCCCGUCAUUGUGUCCAAU
rfam:Danio rerio unplaced genomic contig NA321, GRCz11 reference primary assembly.